AAGUCGUAACAAGGUUUCCGUAGGUGAACCUGCGGAAGGAUCAUUAAAAGUAAUAUGUAUUCUCACGAAUAUACAUUAUAAACCCAUCUGUGUAUCUUACCUGUUGCUUCCGCGAGCCAGUGAUCUCGGUCACCUCCGCGGGAUGGCGAAAGCCAUCCUCCGGGGAGCACUCGCGGGAGGUAUACAUCAAACUCUUGCAUUUUUAUGUCAUCUGUCUGAACUGUUUAUAACAAAUGUUAAAACUUUCAACAACGGAUCUCUUGGUUCUC
rnacentral:misc_RNA from 1 species